rnacentral:rRNA from 1 species
UCGAGAAUCUUCCGCAAUGGGCGAAAGCCUGACGGAGCGAUGCCGCGUGAGGGAUGAAGGCCUUCGGGUUGUAAACCUCUGUCGCCCGGGACGAAAUAAAUGACGGUACCGGGAGAGGAAGCUACGGCUAACUACGUGCCAGCAGCCGCGGUAAUACGUAGGUAGCGAGCGUUAUUCGGAUUACCUGGGCGUAAAGGGUCCGUAGGAGGCCUGUCAAGUCGGAUGUGAAAGCCCAAGGCUCAACCUUGGAACUUCAUCCGAAACUGCCGGGCUAGAGUGCAUGAGGGGUAGACGGAAUUCCUGGUGUAGCGGUGGAAUGCGUAGAUAUCAGGAGGAACACCGGUGGCGAAGGCGGUCUACUGGCAUGCAACUGACUCUCAGGGACGAAAGCGUGGGGAGCAAACA